UGAAGAAAUAUUUCAAGACCAUUUCUACUGGAUACAGGAAAAAGAAGCAAACACAUCCCCAGGCUUUUACUUCCAUGCUGGUAUUGCAUAGCUUCCUGUGACCCUCUCUUCUCCCAGCAAUGCAUGGCUUUAAGGUUGCACAGGCUGGGUGGAAUAUAUUUUAGAGCGAGACUCAAUUUAGCCAUGAUGUCAACUGCAGCCAACUAUAAAAAGCUCAGUAACGCUCUUUGAAAGUGUAACAGCUGCCGCUCUACACAGUCCCUGGUGUAUUACAAGUCCGCCCUACUUCAUGUGCACACAACCAAAAUAAAAUACGGUAGUAAUCAUUAUAUAGUUCAAGGAAUUUGGGACAAAAUCUCCCCAGAAACCAGGAGGAAUUCAAGUGAUCCCUACACAGUGACAACCGAGCAGAAAACCUUUUGGCAGUUCUGGAUAAACUGACUUCUUGCAUGGGCAAAGCAUGUGAAAGAAAAAGGAUUCAUGUCUCCCUGUCUUUAAGAAAACAUAUGACCUCUUCAGCAGCAAUUCCUCUCAAUCAUCAGCAAGAUAGAGACCAGAAGGUCUACAUUUCUUACUGGAGGGCACUGUUGCUGGACUAGACUGCCUCUCUGGGACUUGUAUUUCCUCCGUGUUUCCCUUCCCAUGCAGAACCCGCUGUUCCAAGAAACAAGUGAAUAAUUUACUGGCUGAACUGAGCAUAUUCAUCUUAUCUGCGAAUUAAGCUAAGGGUUCUCUCAAAUACAUAAAUUAUUGGGAAUUUG